UUUAUUUAUUUUUUUAUUAUGUGUGUAUGUCUGUUUAAACACGCACUCAAAACCCAGAGUGUCCACUUUCGCUCCACUUCAAAUUGCGUGAACAGAAUCUAAAAACAGUGUCUAUUUAUCACUAUGGUGCGUGACUAACAGUCAACUCUACAUGAACUGACUGUUUUAAGGAUUGCAUAGAAAGGGCAACGACACCUGUAAUGGAAAGGAAGGGAAUCCCGCCAUUUUAUAUUUAUUUUAAAGUGCUUUCAUGCCUAAAUAAAAUAAAAGCACAGAACAGAUUCACAGUUAAGAGCAAGAAGCGUUCGGCAGUGGGUUGCGUUUAGGGAGGAUCAGCUCUUUAAUGUUUAUUGCCACCCUUCAUAGAAAGAUUGAAAUACGGGAGACAUAUGGGAAAAUAACUUUACGGGAUGAUAGCGGAAUGUAAAAUUGUAAAAUACAGGAGAAUCGUGUGAAAACGGGACGGUUGACAGGUAUGUUCAAUUCCCACCUCAAGGUCCCAUGCUGAUCCUUCCCUUCUCUCUGCUCCCCACAUUGUCCUGUCUAGACUUUCCUACUGUCCUAUUAUUUAAAGGUGAAAACUCUGAGAAAAUAAUGAUAAAAAAAGCAUUAUUAGGAUUUUUAAAAAUGUUUUAUCUACAAUGUAGAUGUUGCCAGGGUUAAUGAAGUUCUGAAAUUAGUGUGUUUGUCAAAACGUGUCUUCAUGCCUGUUUUUUUUUUUUUGCCUCUCCAGCUUAGUAGUUGAAGAGUGAGAAGUCAAAUACUGUUUGGGGAUUUACUGAAAAGCUGUGCUAGUUUUGCAUGCAGUGCAUUCAUUAUUUUAGCAAACACAAGCUGAAUGAGGUGUGGUGCAUUGUAGAUAAUACCUAACACACUUGCACCUUUUCCACCAGCACAGCCCAUAAUCCCCUGAAAGCAGAGAGUAUGUAGGAAAAUGAAUAUUAUGAUUACUGUUGUGUGAAAGGGUUUAAGAAUGAAUGAAUGGUGUACUGGAAAGUGUGUGCGCAUGGGCCUGUAAAUAAAUAAAUUUUGUGUUUCAUUACAGAUUUUGGAAAAUAAAGCUGCAGUGAACUCCAGUGAUGUGGUGUCUAACAGCAGGGUCAUCUUCAUGGUCAGCUUCUCUCUGCGUCUCAAGUCCGCUGACGUACACGAUGAGCUAACUGGACAAACUGGUUGCAGCGGGGAAGCCCUCUACACAGAGCAACCAACAGAGGUCCAGCUUCCUCCACCAACCCCUCGAAAAGAGUCCCCAGACUCUGGCGGAUCCUGGUGCAGAAGUCCG